CUUGAUCCAAAGGUAAACGGGUGUUGUUCUCUGUCCGGGCUUAGCAUAGUAGAGCUUACUGGCUGUGUUUGAUUUCUGCUCAGAAAUGUUACAGGUUGCUGCUCUCUAGUCAAGCUAGUCACAGAAGUCAUUGGCUGGGGUUGUGGGUCUUGAAGAAAUGUUACAGUCUGCCGCUCUCUGCUUGAAGAACUCGGAACAGAACUCACUGGAUGCGACUGUGGUUGACUCUGAAAAAUCAUAGAACUUUGCUGCAUGAAACCAACUGG
rnacentral:misc_RNA from 1 species